UACGUAGGUGACCAGCGUUGUCCGGAUUUACUGGGCGUAAAGAGCGCGCAGGCGGUCGUUCAAGUCGAGUGUGAAAGCCCCCCGGCUCAACUGGGGAGGGUCAUUCGAUACUGAUCGACUCGAAGGCAGGAGAGGGAAGCGGAAUUCCCGGUGUAGUGGUGAAAUGCGUAGAUAUCGGGAGGAACACCAGUGGCGAAGGCGGCUUCCUGGCCUGUUCUUGACGCUGAGGCGCGAAAGCUAGGGUAGCAAACGGG
rnacentral:rRNA from 1 species